AGCAGAGUGGCGCAUUGGAAGCGUGCUGGGCCCAUAACCCAGAGGUCCCAGGAUCGAAACCUUGCUCUGCUA
rfam:Nematostella vectensis strain CH2 x CH6 NEMVEscaffold_236_Cont20160, whole genome shotgun sequence.